UGGGGAAUUUUGGACAAUGGGCGGAAGCCUGAUCCAGCAAUGCCGCGUGCAGGAUGAAGGCCUUCGGGUUGUAAACUGCUUUUGUACGGAACGAAAAAGCUUCUCCUAAUACGAGAGGCCCAUGACGGUACCGUAAGAAUAAGCACCGGCUAACUACGUGCCAGCAGCCGCGGUAAUACGUAGGGUGCGAGCGUUAAUCGGAAUUACUGGGCGUAAAGCGUGCGCAGGCGGUUAUGUAAGACAGAUGUGAAAUCCCCGGGCUCAACCUGGGAACUGCAUUUGUGACUGCAUGGCUAGAGUACGGUGGAGGGGGAUGGAAUUCCGCGUGUAGCAGUGAAAUGCGUAGGUAUGCGGAGGAACACCGAUGGCGAGGGCAAUCCCCUGGACCUGUACUGACGCUCAUGCACGAAAGCGGGGGGAGCAAACA
rnacentral:rRNA from 1 species